rnacentral:rRNA from 1 species
GACGAACGCUGGCGGCGUGCUUAACACAUGCAAGUCGAACGGAAAGGCCUGCUUUCCCUUGUGGAUUGCGGGUACUCGAGUGGCGAACGGGUGAGUAACACGUGAGUGAUCUGCCCCCAACUUGGGUAUAAGCCUGGGAAACUGGGUCUAAUUCCCGAUAGGACUGCAGGGUGGUGCCUGUGGUGGAAAACGAUUUUCUAGUGGUUGGGGAUGAGCUCGCGGCCUAUCAGCUUGUUGGUGGGGUAAUGGCCUACCAAGGCGGCGACGGGUAGCCGGCCUGAGAGGGUGGACGGCCACAUUGGGACUGGGAUACGGCCCAGACUCCUGCGGGAGGCAGCAGUGGGGAAUAUUGCACAAUGGGCGGGAGCCUGAUGCAGCGACGCCGCGUGGGGGAUGACGGCCUUCGGGUUGUAAACUCCUUUCGACCGAGAGGAAGCCACCUGGUUGGAAGGGUGGUGACGGUAGUGGUAGAAGAAGCACCGGCUAACUACGUG